AUUGAACGCUGGCGGCAUGCUUUACACAUGCAAGUCGAACGGCAGCGCGGGCUUCGGCCUGGCGGCGAGUGGCGAACGGGUGAGUAAUACAUCGGAACGUGCCCAGUAGUGGGGGAUAGCUCGGCGAAAGCCGGAUUAAUACCGCAUACGACCUGAGGGUGAAAGCGGGGGAUCUUCGGACCUCGCGCUAUUGGAGCGGCCGAUGGCAGAUUAGCUAGUUGGUGGGGUAAAGGCCUACCAAGGCGACGAUCUGUAGCUGGUCUGAGAGGACGACCAGCCACACUGGGUCUGAGACACGGCCCAGACUCCUACGGGAGGCAGCAGUGGGGAAUUUUGGACAAUGGGCGAAAGCCUGAUCCAGCAAUGCCGCGUGUGUGAUGAAGGCCUUCGGGUUGUAAAGCACUUUUGGCGGGAACGAAAAGGACUGUGCCAAUACCACGGUUCGAUGACGGUACCCGCAGAAUAAGCACCGGCUAACUACGUG
rnacentral:rRNA from 1 species